GUGCCCUUUUAAGGUUGCUGCAGUGCUUUAAGAGGCUAACACAGAAGGGUAAAGUAAGACUCUAUAAAACCCAGAGAAGAGACUGGAGAACUCCUCUUUGGAUCCUGUCUGGAGUCACAGCU
ensembl:snoRNA small nucleolar RNA SNORA26